UACACUGGUUCUCGUACGAUCAGCGAAGUUAAGCAACAUCGAGCCUGGUCAGUACCGAGAUGGGUAAUCACUUGGGAAUACCAGGUGCUGUAAG